UUUUUGUCUAAAAUGAAAGUGGCCGCAUCCGUGUUCAUCCUCAACCUUUAUAUAUGUUAUGUAUUAUCAUCAAAUACAACUUACAUGUCAAUAUUAAGGAUGAACACGAAUGCGGCAGCUUUCGUUUUACACGGAAACCAUCUAAAAUUUAACUAAAAUGCUAGAAUUGAGAAGAUUUCAGUAAUUUAGCAUGACUUAAUGGUGCUAGUACCCGAUAUAUGUGCAUUGUAUUGUCAAAAACAGCACA
rnacentral:lncRNA from 1 species